GGCUCAGAUUGAACGCUGGCGGCAUGCUUUACACAUGCAAGGUCGAACGGCAGCGGCGGGGCAACCCUGGCGGCGAGUGGCGAACGGGUGAGUAAUGCAUCGGAACGUAUCCUGUAAGUGGGGAUAACGUAGCGAAAGUUACGCUAAUACCGCAUACGCUCGAGAGAGGAAAGUGGGGGAUCGCAAGACCUCACGUUAUAGGAGCGGCCGAUGUCCGAUUAGCUAGUUGGUGGGGUAAAGGCCUACCAAGGCGACGAUCGGUAGCUGGUCUGAGAGGAUGAUCAGCCACACUGGGACUGAGACACGGCCCAGACUCCUACGGGAGGCAGCAGUGGGGAAUUUUGGACAAUGGGCGAAAGCCUGAUCCAGCCAUGCCGCGUGCGGGAAGAAGGCCUUCGGGUUGUAAACCGCUUUAGUCCGGGAAAAAGGGGUGCGAGGAUAAUACCCUCGUGCUUUGAUGGUACUGGAAGAAUAAGCACCGGCUAACUACGUG
rnacentral:rRNA from 1 species